rnacentral:lncRNA from 1 species
UCAAUUUCAUCAAUACAUCAAUUACAAUAAAUUUCAUUUAAUAACAAUUCAAUUUGGUUACCAACAAUCCAUUUCACUCUCUUUACAAGUUUACAAGUUCAUUUAUAUCAAUUCGCUCAAUAAACCCUAGUAAAAUGGACUCGGAUACAUGGGUAAACUACACCACACCAAGUUGCUCGUCCGAGUUGAAUAUAUAUAUCAAGUUACCCAUUCGGGCUAAACCGAUAUCACAACACAUCAGGUUACUCGUCCGAGAUAAACCUGUGUCACAUAACAAAAAUCCACAAUGAAUGUUGGAUCUCGAUAAAACCUAUGAUAAUCCCCAUACAAGCCCACACAAGACUCUAUUGGCAUGCCAAACAUAUCCUAACAUUUUACUAAGUUCACACAGGCCAUAAUUUUUCAUAUUAUAAUAUCAUCCCUGUAAUUAUUCAUAUAUUCAUAUUAUACGCUGUGUAUGAUUGCAUGCCUUAAUUACUUGCCCUGUACACAUUCAGUCUUUCACAUAUGAACCUUGUACUAUUUCAUUAUAACCAAAUAUCACAUAACAUCUCAAUUGAAUGCAUACUAGUCGUACAUGCCAAAUUCACAAUUGUUCUAAUUUUUUGCACUAACAUGUAUAAUUGAAACCAAAUACAAGAUAACAUAUAACAUAAAAUAAAAUAGUAAGUUCCAUAUGAACUGAACUAUUCAAAAUGUGAAAAGAGUGGAUUACUUUAGGGACUAAUCCACAAUUUUAGCUUUUCUUCUAUUAGCUCCACUUUGAUCCAAUUCUUGAUCUAUACAAUUAUUUUAUAUAACCAAUCAGUACCAAACAUUUUCAUAUUAUGCCAUGAUAUGAGUGAACCUAUAUGAACUCAAUUUUUAUAUAUCCCUAAAAUUUUAUAUUUUAUUCAAUUUAGUCUCUGAACUCGGGAUAGUCAUAAAUUUUAAUCCCUAGAUUCAAAUUAAAAUACGAUUUCAUAUAGUCUCAUCAAGGACCUUAUACUUUCUAUUUCUAACAUAAUUUCAUGACAAGUUUUACAUUUAUUCAAUUUGGUCCCUAAUGUAACAAAGUUAAUAAACAAGUUCAAUUAACUUUACAAUAUAGUCCUUUUCAUAAACUAAGCUUAAAAUUUAUCAAUUUCAAGCCUAAUUCUUAAAUAAAUCAACAAUGGAAACUUUCUAAAACUUUAACAGUUUUACAAAUUGGUAUAUAGACUAGCUAAAUCAAGCUCCCAUGACCUCAAAUCUAUAAAACUUACAAGAAAAAGACUUAAAUUUCAUACCUAAAUGUUGGCUGAAUGUCAAGCCUGUUUCUCUAGGUUUUUCACACCUCAAUGGACGACAAAGAGAU